GGCUGGACGGCGUGGGUGCGUGUUUGCAGGGGGCCGUGUUGCCUGGCUACCACAGGUGCUGUAAGCCGGGGUGCACCCCUGGCCUGUCAUAAAGUGGCCCGCAUCUGCUUCUCUGAGCUUCUGCCUCUGUCUGAGAAGGGCAGAAGCGUUGGGAUAAGUCCCCUCAGCCCGCAAGUUGGUCAGCCCUGCUGUGUGGCUGCAGAUGGGGAGGUUUUGGGGGUACGAGGCUGGCGGAUUUGGUAUAACCUGCAUUCACAGAGCUGUUCCGCUUUGGUUCUGUUGGUCAACUUACUGCUUUCUGCUUCAGAGAUACAGCGCUGAAGUGAAAUAACAUUAGCACAUGCUGGAAAUUAGUUGUUUUCUGAUGUGUAGUGGUAUUCCAGCACACGUUCUUUAGUUUAAAGAAGGAAUUAGAGGGUCCUCCUUGCUGGAACACUCGGGUGCUGCCCUAAGUGGCGUUCCGCUGCUCAGUUUAUUAAGCUGUUUUUACGCUUAGACUCUCCAUCCCUUGCUUCAGCAGAGUUACAGGCACCGACAGCGCCUGCGUGAACUGGCUGAUGACAGAGGCUUCACUGUUCGCCACAGGAAUGGAAAUGCAUUCUCCUUUUUACCAGAAGCUGCUGUCGAACAUAUAUGUGACUUGGUGUAUGCAACAUGAGGCAGAGCAGCACUUUUCAUUGGGUGCUGGAAGUGACAAAGAAUCGUCAGUCUGCCUUUCUCUUCGAAUGCAAGCUUGCUCUCCUUUGCUCCACUCAUCUGUAAUUCUGACGAUGGCACUAUUUCAGCAACAGAGUUGGCUCAGCAAAAUCUGCCAAUCAGGGCAAAUCACGUGAGUGAUUCUGUGGAGGCUGAAACAGGAUUGCUGAACUCAUUGUCAUGCGUGGCUAAACAGAGAAUUGAACCUUGUGAAAGGAUAUUUGAUUGGCUAUACCAAGGAUUGCAGGACCAUCAUAAGUCUCCCGCAUGGAAAAGGAUGAACAGUAGUGCUCCUUAGGUUCGGACUCUCUGUCUCAGAAGAUUCCAAGUGAUUGUAUUCACUCUGAAAUGCUUGUAAAUAGCUGGCAGUUAACAGCAAAUGCCUGGCAGAAAAAAAAUAAAUAAAUUCCCCCAGCUGCUUCCCCAUCAAUAAAGCUGGGAUUUGUUUUUAUUGAUGAAGGAUUUUCUGUUUGCUGCCCUGCUAAUUCAAGCUAAAUGGAAAUGGACGGCCUUUAGUAAGGAGUGGGGUACUCAGUAUAAGAAUGGCUAAAUAAGCUUGAGUUCCUCCAUGUAUACUUAUGCUGUAAGCCAUGAGGAACCCCCCCCCAGCAUCUCAUGGGGGAUUUUCCUUGUGUCCUUUCUUCUCUCUUACUCCCUGCUUUCCUCCUUUCUAUCCCAGUUACUGACCUGGGAUCCUUGCCACCCUUCACACUCUCAACUCUCUGUUUCCACGGGCAUCUACAGCUGUAACCUCUGAAACCAGAUGCUCAUAAUAAAGGAAAGGUACACUGUGACUUAUCUGGGUUAUUUACCUUAGUUUUGCUUCCUAACCUAGGAUGUGUUUCAGUAACAUCCCUCUAACAAUGUCACUCCAUGUAGAUUCUGCCACUUUAACAGCUGUUUCAAUUUCUGCAUGGAUUGCAUGUAGAGUAGCUGCCCAAGUGCUUUGGGGAGGAAUAGGUGCAGAAGGGAUGAACUGCCCCUUAAAACUUGGUAUGCAUCUGUUUAGCUUUGUUGCUAAUGAUGAAUGAAAGUCUUUGAGCUGCCCACUAUGUGCAAAGAACAAACAGAACUCAGCACUUGCUAUUUCUGUUCACGUGUUUGAAGCACAGACCUACAGAUUAUAUUCUUUUAUAUGAUUAUUACCCUCAAUAUAAAUAGAAAACAGUUUUUGAACUUGGACUAGAACGUUAAGAGAAAAUUUCUCUCCUGCAUUUUGUGUGCAGCUGUCUGCUGAGCCUACAGUACCAUAUCAGUGUUAAGCUCUGCCUUCUCAAAGCGUUGGGGAGGUCUGGUAGCACUGAUUAACUUUGUGGAUUUAGAGGCGUUUACAGUCUGGAACCUCGUUCAGAUUUCUCUACACCUAAAGCACGUGCAGAAGCUUUGCUGUGAUGGGCAUUUUUUCCUUGGCUGGUGGGGCCACCUACGAAGUUCUUUUUUCAUUCUUGUGACCUGUCUGUAAUCAUAACAGGACAAUAUGAGUCUGCAUUUUGCAUCCUUUCCCCAUGCUUUUUGUGCCUUGAUUUAGUGGAAUGCUUAGGCAUGUGUAUCUCAGUCUAUGUGAUGGUCCCACUCUAAUGCCUUGCUGAAGUGGUGGUUCAGUGGUGUUCACAACUGGAAAGACUUGGUUCAAAGUCUGACUUGGAUUCUCCAUGUUCUACCACUUGAAUUGCAUUGUACUGAUGUGCACAGAGUUCUGAGAGUGUUGUGUAUUUCCAUGGCGAUCACUUCCUGCAGUCUGCCUCAGAGCCCCAACUUCUGCAAUUUUAACCAGCUUUCUGAUUUUCCUUGUUGCUUCCCCUUCCCCCCUCAUUGUUUUGCUCUCCUGUUCCUUUUCAACCUCGAUGACUUUUCUUUAACUAUUUAGAGCUACUUCUUUUGCUCCAGCCUCAGUUCACUGCUGGAAGGAUUCCUGCAGCUCCGGCCCCAGCUGUCCUGAGAAUGUUAGCCAUGCUGCCACGCUGCACUUGGAUUUCACUGAUGCAUUCAUGGAGGUUUUGGGGUUUUGUUUUUAAUCAGCCCUCAAUUACAUGGCUUUUUUUUUUAAACUACUCUGGAGAUGACAUUAUUAUUCUCUUCAGACUACAGUUGUAUUAGGCAAUGUGCACUUAAAUAGCUACUGUAGUAAGUGAAGUACAUCUGAUUUGCUCACUGUAUCCUAGAGAAACUUCAGCAGAAAUGUUUGAAGUGCUUUUUAUGGUCUAAGAAAGUUUAAUCCAUACCCAAAAGCCGUCUGUUAUCUGGCUUCCAAAGUUGUUAUACUCAUUGGGCAUGCCAAGCUGUUGAUGCUAGGCUGGCCUUGCAGCAGAUACCAAUGUCACCAUGGCAUCCAUUGACUUACACACUAACUAAUCAUGGUAGGAGCACUCAGCAAAGUUUCUACCCAGGCAGCCGCUCUGAAGGUCACUGUGCUGCCUACGGUGGUUUCAAACUUGCUGCCCCAAAGCAACAGUUUGCAACCCAUGUGAGAACACUGGCAUUUCUGGCACAGCAGGGAUCAGCUUUAUCCUCAGGGUACUUUUAACGUUGCCCAUCUACUAGAUAGCCCACAACUAGGCUGACAAAGGGGAAGUGGUGUCAGUGUGUUGCUCUGCAAAUACAUAUUUUCUAUGUUAUUUAUGGAGCUCCUCCCACUGCUAUGACUAGCUGGGUUAUCUGUGGGGCUUUACUUGUUCCGAAGCCGCUAUUGAUUAAACGUUGAGAUGAUUUUUUUAGAAGCUGUCAUUGGAAGAUGCUUAGGCUGCAUUUGCUGUCAGCUUAGCAGUCAUGUUGCCGCAUCUUCCUCUGAAUUCCUCUCCCAGCUGGGCUCUUUCAUU